rnacentral:lncRNA from 1 species
UUUUCUAUCUAGCACAACUACAUCCAAAAACAACUUACCUGUGAGCAGAGAGAGUAUUCGUUAACCCCUUUGAGCUUAAACAGUUGAAUCUCAACUUGAAAUAAAGCGAGAUUUCAAAAAUCUUUUUUUACAACCCGGAAAAUCUUGAUUAUUGUUCUUUUGCCGUAAAAAGUUAAGAGCAUUCACUUAGGAUGAGUAAGAAAUAAGUUGGGGAGAAUCGGUAAGUACCACAACUCUUGAAAAAAAAAGAAAAACCGAGCAAGCAUUGAAAAUAAAAAUAUAGAAAAGAAACAUCUGUU